rnacentral:rRNA from 1 species
GACGAACGCUGGCGGCGUGCUUAACACAUGCAAGUCGAACGAUGAAGCCUUUCGGGGUGGAUUAGUGGCGAACGGGUGAGUAACACGUGGGCAAUCUGCCCUGCACUCUGGGACAAGCCUUGGAAACGAGGUCUAAUACCGGAUAAUACUUUCCUCUGCAUGGGGGAGGGUUGAAAGCUCCGGCGGUGCAGGAUGAGCCCGCGGCCUAUCAGCUUGUUGGUGGGGUGAUGGCCUACCAAGGCGACGACGGGUAGCCGGCCUGAGAGGGCGACCGGCCACACUGGGACUGAGACACGGCCCAGACUCCUACGGGAGGCAGCAGUGGGGAAUAUUGCACAAUGGGCGAAAGCCUGAUGCAGCGACGCCGCGUGAGGGAUGACGGCCUUCGGGUUGUAAACCUCUUUCAGCAGGGAAGAAGCGUGAGUGACGGUACCUGCAGAAGAAGCGCCGGCUAACUACGUGCCAGCAGCCGCAGUAAAAC